AUGGCGCGGCGGGCGUGUGUGCUGGUCCCGUGCUUCAGCCGGCUGCUGUGUCUGUGCCUGCCCCUGUGCCUGCCGCGGCCGGCGGCGGCGCGCCCGCCCGCCCCGCACCUCGUGCUGGUGCUGGCCGACGACCUGGGCUGGGGCGACGUGGGCUGGCACGGCUCUGCCAUCCGCACGCCGCGGCUGGACGCGCUGGGCGCGGGCGGCGUGCGGCUGGAGCGCUACUACACCCAGCCGCUGUGCACGCCGUCCCGCAGCCAGCUCCUCUCGGGCCGCUACCAGAUCCACACAGGUUUACAACACCAAAUAAUUUGGCCAUGCCAGCCCAGCUGUCUGCCACUGGAUGAGAAACUCCUCCCAGAGCUACUUCAAGAGGCGGGAUAUGUUACUCACAUGGUGGGGAAGUGGCAUUUGGGGAUGUACAGAAAAGAAUGCCUUCCAACCCACAGAGGAUUUGACACUUACUUCGGCUAUCUCCUGGGCAGUGAGGAUUAUUAUACUCAUGACCGCUGUGUCCUCAUCAAAGCAAAGAAUGUGACACGCUGUGCUCUGGACUUUCGAGAUGGAGAAGAAGUUGCAACUGGAUUUAAAAAUGUGUACUCCACAAAUUUAUUCACAGAAAGAGCUAUAGAUCUUAUAGCCAAUCACAAAACUGAGAAGCCCCUCUUUCUCUAUCUUGCCUUUCAGUCUGUGCAUGAACCUCUCGAGGUCCCUGAAAAAUACAUGAAACCAUAUUCUUCCAUAAAAGAUGUAAAGAGGCGCCAUUAUGCAGGAAUGGUGACUCUUAUGGACGAAGCGGUAGGAAAUCUUACUGAUGCUCUGAAAACGUAUGGUCUUUGGGACAACACCGUUUUUGUUUUCUCUACUGAUAAUGGAGGACAAACUUUAGCAGGGGGGAAUAACUGGCCACUGAGAGGGAGAAAAUGGACCCUCUGGGAAGGAGGAGUGAGAGCUGUAGGCUUUGUUGCAAGUCCUUUGCUGAAACAAAAAGGUGUAGAAAGUCAUGAACUCAUCCAUAUCUCUGACUGGCUGCCAACGCUGGUGCACCUUGCUGGAGGACAUGCCAAUGGCACUAAGCCUUUGGAUGGCUUUGAUGUUUGGAACACUAUCAGUGAAGGAAGACCUUCUCCCAGAGUGGAACUGCUGCAUAACAUAGACCCCAUGUUUGUGGAUGAUUUCCCAUGUCUUGGCAUUGACAAGAGGACAUCUUUACCACAGAGCAAUUCUUCUCCAUGGGAUGAUACGCUUUUCAAUAUAUCCAUACAUGCAGCAAUAAGACAUGGAAAAUGGAAGUUACUAACUGGAUAUCCAGGCUGCAGUCAUUGGUUCCCUCCACCGUCUUUGUACAAUGAGUCCCAGAUUCAAUCGUCUGAUCCAUCAACAAAGAGACUUUGGCUGUUUGAUAUUGUUCAUGACCCUGAAGAGAAACAUGAUGUGUCUGAAAAAUACCCUCAUAUGGUGGAAAAACUACUCUCACGGCUUCAGUAUUAUCACAAACAUUCAGUGCCUGUGUUCUACCCUGAUGAGGAUCCUGCCUGUGAUCCAGCAGCAACUGGGGCUUGGGGUCCUUGGGCAUAGUGAACAAAGCUUUGCACUCUGUAAAAAACCUCUGUAGCAGAGUCUGGUUUAUGGACUCAGAGUCCUAGUGACAUAUUUUCUACUUUCUUUAGUGAGCUGUUGCUAACUGUGAGCUUACUCUUUGAAUAAUUCAGUAUUUCUUAUUCUUGCUCUGUUGGGAAUCUUAUUUCAGUCUUUCUCACUCUCUCAUUCCCAACAAUUAUAUGUGAAAUGUUAGUAAUUUUUUAAAUAUUCUUUGUCUGGAAUAUGCUUCUAGUGCAGAAGAUAAACAUUGCCUCCUUCCUUGAAAGAAAUUGAAAGGAAUUGAAUUCCUUGUAAGGAAUCAUGGCAGCAGGGACAUCUAAAAUUAAUCAGUCUUAUGGAGUAUACUGAAUUCUGAUUUCAUGUUUGUCCAGAAGACAAAUUCUUCUGAAAGCUAUUAUAUAUCUGUAUUGGCAUAAUUUUUUUUUGCCUUUAACAUGUACUUCCAUGCAGAAAAAGGAAGAGUAAAAAAAGAAAACCUCACAAAUACAACAAAAUCUCUAUUUCUUUUUCACUUUUAAUGUAUCAAACCAGAGUACAGAGUGAUGAUCAACUGGAGUGCAGAGCUGUCAGGUAGAAGGAUCUUGACAGGCUGAAAAAUGGAUGAAUAAAGAUUUCAUUAAUUUGAACAAUUGCAGAGUCCUACAGUUGGGGUGCAACAGCUGCAUUCAGCUGGGCCAACAUGCUGGGCCAUGACCAGAUGAAAAGCAUUUUCAUGAGGAAAACAUCUAGGCAUCCUUCUGGACAAUAAUUAGGACAAGAGUUGCCAUUUUCUGUCUAGGUGAAGAAAACCAACAAGCUGUUGUUCCAUAAAAGUGAGAAUGUAGCCAGCAGCUAGGGGAUGUCUUAAUUCCCUUCUACCAGUGCUAGAGCAUAGCAUCACAUUUUGAUGCAUACAAGAAAACUAUUGACCAUUUGGAGUUAUUUCAGUGGAGAACUAUGAAUAUGAUCAUGGGGAGGAUAAAGAAAUGGGUUAGUUUAUGGUGGUGAGAAGAAGGGAAGUUGCUAUCUUCAGCUACCUAAUUUAAGAGCACAGAGAAGAGGAAGCAGGACUCCUCCAAGAUGCACAAAGAUAAAAAGCACACAUGGAAUAUGUGGAGUUCCAAUGCAAUGUAAGGAAAGGGAAAAAAAAUCACACCCUGUUUUUAAUUAAAUAUGGGAAAUGUGAGACUAUGGGAACCCUAAUCCUGGGGAUGUUCAGUCUUUGGGUGGAGAAGAUUCUGGACAAUUCUGUCCCUGAAGCUGGAUCAAAUUUGAAGUUGACCUGGUUUGGUAGCGGUGGUGAGGAGCAACCAGUGACCUCCAAAGGCCCCUUUCUGCAAGAAUUGCUCAACGAUUCUGUGAUGAACAAAACCUCACUUUUAUUACCUGCCUGGUUCUAAGUGCUGAAUAAUUCCACUGAAAAUUAAUUUUUGGGGCUAAGGACAUUGCAGAUGAUUUACUACCUCCCUAAAUAUGUAACCUCCUUAUAUUUAUUCAGGUUUUCUGAAUCUGGAUCUGUGCCUCAAGCCAUGGUUAUCACUUGUUCAAAUUCUGGUACAGACCAUCCACUUCUCUGGUAAUAAAUAUGUUUUCCCCAAGUAUAGGGGUAAAAAGACUUGAUUUUUAUUCUUGUGAGUUGCUCCACUUUUCUUCUUCCUCUGUAUUUACAUAAGAAAAGUAAGAUACCUGUCAUUUAAAAUAUCUAAUAGACCCAUGACUUGCAAAAUAUUUAUUCACUGGAUUUUAUUUUUUAUGACCAGACUAUGAAGAAUAAAACAGUGUUUCCUCUUUGGUUGUUUUUUAAAGAGAAAGUGAUUCACUUAUUAUGUUUAGAAUAGUACUAAUAGAGGUUCAGGGCCAUUAUCAUUCUUUAGUUAAGAUGACAGAUGAGAGAUAAAAAGGUGCUCCUUAUUUGUUUUAACUGCAUGUACUCUGUGCUUUCUGAAGACCACUUGGCUUACAACCACUUUAAAAAAUACCACAAUUUGGCUCUGAGUCACACAUUUUGAUUGAAAUCAGAUAGCCAAAACCACAAGAAUCUUAACUUGUUAGAAACAGUGAUUGUUCCAAAAGUGUGAAUCCAGAAGACUGGCAUACAUAUGGUAAGUAGAGGAUGCACAUAAAAGCUCCUGAUAUACCCUCAACUUUUUAUUUUGCUUAUUUUGCUGCUGUUACAUAACUGGGAAACCAUGAGCACCUGGCCAUACAAGGCUGGGGUUUUUUGUUUGCUGUUUCAAGGCCAGAAUAUAUACUCUCAUAUUAACAGUGACUUCAAUCCUAAUUUUCAAUGUUAGAAGUUGGUCAGAAACUGCUUCAUGGAACCAUUUCUUAAUGACCUUGCACCUUGACUUUCUUCCUGCAGCACUAGAAAUGAAUGUACACUGUGUCCUGGACGUGCCGUGAAUUCCCCAGCAGAACCUAAAGCAUCACUUCAUCAAAAUAAAGAGGUGUAAUUCUUCUUAGUCUACUAAAUUAUGCUUAAAAUUUUUCUCCUUUAAGAUUUUCUCCAAGUGCUCCAAUUGUUGCAACAAUUCAUAAUGAAAUGUGACUCCCAGGAAAGAUCAUCAACUGAACUAAUUUUGAUGUUAAAAUAUGACCUGUGCUAACUUGUUAUUCAGUGACUUUGGAAAUGUACCCACCAAUUUCUUGUGUAACCCCUGAAUACCACAUAAGAAAAGGCUAGGAAAAAAAAAUCUCAAGAGAAACAGUACUAGUUGAAAUUUGUAAUUUUGUUAAAAUGUAUUCACCAAGCAAAACCCCAUCUUUUAAAGGUUUCUGUGGGAUAGUUAGACAGCCUUUUAAAGCAUGGGGGCUACCAUGUACAUUUUGUCUAUUUAGUACUAUUUAGUGAACUACUGUUGAUAUACUGUAUAACUAUUAAAUUUGGCUAUGAUACCAAGCUCUAAGGUGUAGGCAAUAGCUCAGUAAGAUCAUAUACACUGAAAUAGCAAUUUUUAUUAUUCUGAAAUACAAUUUCUAUUAUUUCGGCUUUGGAAAUUAGAAUUUUCUUUAUAUGGAUUUAUAUAUUUAUAUAUAUGGAUAUUUUGCUACUGCAGGAAAAGCAUGCACUAAUAACUAUGUAAUACUCUUGGUCAAUAUAUGCCUUAUUUUUCUCCAUAAUUAAUUUCUUCCUUUCUCUUUCCUCUUCUUGUAAGUAGCCCUAUAAUUAUCAUCAUUAACAAUGUUUACUUUUAAUCAGUUGUGGUAUUUUAAUUCUCAGCUCUUACUUCUUUUUCCUAACUAUUCUCAAUAAUUGCAAUGUCCUUGCAAUAUCAGUAUUGUUUGUUUCCAAACUAUUGUUUUGAUUCCAUCUUAUCUGUUCAAAUAAGGAAUACAUGAAUUCCUAGGACUAAUCAUUGUAAUGUUUUAUUAAUGUUAUCUCCAGCUAAUUAUUUUCAUUUCUGUUUUAAUACAGAUCAUUCAUCACUACUUAAACAGCUAACUUAAUUACUUCAGAGACAAAAACAUAAAAAUGCAAUUUAAAGUUUCCUACUUACACAUAACAUAGUUAAAGAUGAAGUGUAACUUAGUGUGUGAGAGAAUCUUUGAGGAAUAAA